GGUAAUUGAUAAAGUUCAGGAAGAAACGAAGAGCCGUGCAGAUAGGAAGCCUCCUGUUUUAGGCCGUGGUAGAGGUAGAGGUAGAGGUAGAGAAGAUGGUCCUGGAAGGCAACCAAAAGGAGCUCGGUAUGGAUUUGAAGAUGGUGCCAAGGGUCCAGGAGGACGAGCCAGGGGUGGCUCAGGUGGAAAGACCAGCGGAAGCAGAGGUGGUGGCCGAGGUUAAGGUUGACGACGUGCUGCUUUAUCUUGGGCAACAUUGCUAUUUUUAGAAGCAGGUUGCAUCCAAUCCACCGAAAUCAGUUUCUAUCGUUUGGUUUUUUUUUCUGUCAGAAUGGGUGUCCAAAGAACCAAUAUUAUGUAACAUUGCAGAAUUC